CUCAGCUUCCCGCGUACGGUCUCACCGCGGAGGCAAUCAGGGAGAAGCGGCAGCAGCAGGUGAAGAGGCUUCACGAGAUCCACGCACGCAGGAAGGAGGAGAAGCUUGCAGAGGACUCCGAGAAACUGCAGCAGCUGCAGAGCCUCCAGGAGCUGCUGGCAGAGGGCAGCACCGAUCAGAUUAAAGCGCUAGAGGAUGCCGGACUGUCGUCCGAGAGCGAGCUGCAAUGGACCAUCGAUCGCGUGAAGCGAAGCAUCGACAAGACCCUCAAGAAAAUACAGGCUGCGAAGAGUGAGGAGGAUUGGGAUGUGGAAGCGACGCGACAGCAAGCGCGCUCGCUCAGCAGAGUCCCGCCGCCAGUCGAGAGAAAGAAG